AUGGCGGUCGCGGGACACGUUUCGCGUUCGUCGUUUGAUAUUUCCGUCGCCGCGUUUACCCAGACGUCGCGACCCGUUCGUCGUCGGUCCCUGUUCGAAGGAGUCGCGUUCGAGCUCGUUGUGGGCGCGCGUGUUUCGGCGCGCGCGCUACACGGCGAAGGCGCGAUUUUUCUGGCGGACGACGGACGGUACGUUAAGGGUGUCCGACGCCGUUUUUGUACUCGUACACGCGGUCGUCGGUACCGGUCGGCGACGAAUUCUUCGGGCCUCUUUCCGACCCGUCUUGAAACACGGACCAAGGAGUCUAACAUGCGCGCGAGUCGCGGGGUGUCGAGCGUACUACGGUGCGUUCGUUACGUUUGCGAAACCCGUACAUGUUGAAGGCGUAAUGAAAGUGAAUAGGGAAGAUGGUGUUUCCGAGUUCACGUUUCCGCGAUCGUCGGUAUCGCGGCCGGACACCCGCAUUCCCGGGGCGUCUCAACGGCCCGUCGCGAAUGCGGACGAUCGGGGCUCUCGGGUCCUGGUCGUCGGUUCGCGACGAACCGAGGCGCACCUAUAGCGUGCACGUUGGUACCCGAAAGAUGGUGAACUAUGCCUGGCCAGGAUGAAGUCAGGGGAAACCCUGAUGGAGGUCCGCAGCGAUUCUGACGUGCAAAUCGAUC
rnacentral:rRNA from 1 species